ACCAUCAAUUUCAGGUCUGUUUCCUCCUCUUUCUCUUCCUAUUCUUUCUUCCUCACCUUCCUCUUCCUCCACCACCUCCUCCUCUUCUUCCCUCCUCUUCCCCCUCUUCCGCAACUGCGACAGCACCUCCUCUUCCACUGCUGCAGCACCACCUCUUCUUCCUUUCUCUUCCUCCUCUUCUUCCUCCACUGCCUCCUUCCGCCUCUUCCUCCACUGUCACUUGUUCCUUCCUCUUCUUAGACUCUUCAAUAUAUACCAAUGUACUGGUACAUACAGGUAAUGGUACAUACCAGUCCGGCCAUGGACCGAUACACCUGGUUGGUACGAGAUGACAAACCUUCGAUAGAAUUGCACUAAUUAUCUCCAAAUAUCUCAGUACUUUGAGAAAGUCACAUAUGGACAUUGCAUUGUGCACUAUCGAAGUGAGAUUGUGGGCAAUGUUUCAUGUGAAUGAGGAUUGAAUUUAGACAUCUAAAUUAUUUUAAAAAAUGAUCAUAGUAGCAUAGCACGGGUUAUGUAUAAGAACU
rnacentral:lncRNA from 1 species